rnacentral:rRNA from 1 species
AUGACUAGGGAUAACCUUAGUAAGAGACACAUCAUCAAACCCCUUGAUUGUGUUUACUGCUUGGAACAAGAGUCUUGUUCUCACCUAUUUUUUUGUAUAGUUGCUAAACAUCUCUGGGCCCACAUUGAGGAAUAUUUCUCUAGUCAGAUUGGCUCAUCCUUCGAAUAUGUUGCCAGAUUCUGGAUUGCUACCAAAAAGUGCUCAGUUUUAAACACUGUUAGCUUAGCUGUCCUUCGGUGCAUCUGGAAAUAUAGAAAUGCUAUAAUUUUCAGUAACACCUCGUGGAUUUCCAUUCCGUAGGUCUUGAGGUUGAUCAGGAACAUGGUGAUGAGCUUCGUGGAAACCCCAACAAGAUCCCUCCAGAAACCAUUGGCGAUCACUUGUGGCUGA